AGAAAAUUCUGUUAGACUCCUGUUAGCUGCUCUAGCACUGUUCGACUUUAGCAGUUGUCUUCCCACUGCCGAUAGCUGACUGCUAUAUAACAUGAACGCUUAAUUAAAAAAUCAACUCAGUAUUUUUAAUUUUUUGAGUACUUUAAGGUUAAUAACGAAUUCAUUGGAAAAUAUAAACAAAAUAAUAACUUAA